rnacentral:tRNA from 1 species
GGCUCCCCUGCUAAGGGAGUAGUGUGAGUAAUCGCAGCCCGGGUUCAAAUCCCGGCUUCUCCGCCA